rnacentral:rRNA from 1 species
GUCGUAACAAGGUCUCCGUUGGUGAACCAGCGGAGGGAUCAUUACUGAGUUUACGCUCUAUAACCCUUUGUGAACAUACCUAUAACUGUUGCUUCGGCGGGUAGGGUCUCCGCGACCCUCCCGGCCUCCCGCCUCCGGGCGGGUCGGCGCCCGCCGGAGGAUAACCAAACUCUGAUUUAACGACGUUUCUUCUGAGUGGUACAAGCAAAUAAUCAAAACUUUUAACAACGGAUCUCUUGGUUCUGGCAUCGAUGAAGAACGCAGCGAAAUGCGAUAAGUAAUGUGAAUUGCAGAAUUCAGUGAAUCAUCGAAUCUUUGAACGCACAUUGCGCCCGCCAGCAUUCUGGCGGGCAUGCCUGUUCGAGCGUCAUUUCAACCCUCAAGCUCUGCUUGGUGUUGGGGCCCUACAGCUGAUGUAGGCCCUCAAAGGUAGUGGCGGACCCUCCCGGAGCCUCCUUUGCGUAGUAACUUUACGUCUCGCACUGGGAUCCGGAGGGACUCUUGCCGUAAAACCCCCCAAUUUUCCAAAGGUUGACCUCGGAUCAGGGUAGGA